UGGGGAAUAUUGCACAAUGGGCGCAAGCCUGAUGCAGCCAUGCCGCGUGUAUGAAGAAGGCCUUCGGGUUGUAAAGUACUUUCAGUCGGGAGGAAGGUGGUAAGGUUAAUAACCUUAUCAAUUGACGUUACCGACAGAAGAAGCACCGGCUAACUCCGUGCCAGCAGCCGCGGUAAUAAGGAGGGUGCAAGCGUUAAUCGGAAUUACUGGGCGUAAAGCGCACGCAGGCGGUUGAUUGAGUCAGAUGUGAAAUCCCCGGGCUUAACCCGGGAAUUGCAUCUGAUACUGGUCAGCUAGAGUCUUGUAGAGGGGGGUAGAAUUCCAUGUGUAGCGGUGAAAUGCGUAGAGAUGUGGAGGAAUACCGGUGGCGAAGGCGGCCCCCUGGACAAAGACUGACGCUCAGGUGCGAAAGCGUGGGGAGCAAACAGG
rnacentral:rRNA from 1 species